rnacentral:lncRNA from 1 species
AUCCUCCUCCUCGACUGUAGCUCCUCGGCCCUUGUCCAACGACCAUCCAUUCUGAUAAAUCCCAUGCGUCGAAGGGAGUGAUUGUUGUAAGUGUCAGUAUUCGAUAAUCUGCAAAAAACCUCUCCCUCAAAGCUCACUCCAAACUCCCUAAAUAUCACAGUAAGAGCCAUACCAUAGGACAAGAGAGCCUUGGAUCUAUUCAAGACCUCCCUCA